UACGUAGGGUGCGAGCGUUGUCCGGAAUUAUUGGGCGUAAAGAGCUUGUAGGCGGUCUGUCGCGUUGCUGUGAAAAUCAGGGCUCAACCCUGGACCUGCAGUGGGUACGGGCAGACUAGAGUGCGGUAGGGGAGAUCGGAAUUCCUGGUGUAGCGGUGAAAUGCGCAGAUAUCAGGAGGAACACCGGUGGCGAAGGCGGAUCUCUGGGCCGUAACUGACGCUGAGGAGCGAAAGCAUGGGGAGCGAACAGG
rnacentral:rRNA from 1 species